GAAGGGCCCGAGCGUUGCGCGGAAUCAUUGGGCUUAAAGCGUACGUAGGCGGACGAGCAGGCGCCUUGUGAAAUCCCUCGGGCUCAACCGAGGAAUUGCUUGGUGAACCGCUCGUCUUGAGGCAAGUAGGGGCUGUCGGAACGAUAGGUGGAGCGGUGAAAUGCGUUGAUAUCUAUCGGAACGCCAAAGGUGAAGACAGGCAGCUGGGCUUGUUCUGACGCUGAGGUACGAAAGCGUGGGGAGCGAACGGGAUUAGAUACCCCGGUAGUCCACGCCGUAAACGAUGUGCACUAGAUCGAGGGGGUUCUGACGCCAUUCUCGGUCGAAGCAAAAGUGUUAAGUGCACCGCCUGGGGAGUACGGUCGCAAGGCUA
rnacentral:rRNA from 1 species